UCUAACAGCCCAGCACUGACCUCCAGAGAGAAAAUAAUACCUCUCCAGAAAACACCAAGGCUUUACCUAAAACAGCAUCAGCAGGGCAGGAGGAGGAACAGAGCGGAGGCCAGAGAAGUCCUCCUGCUCCGCCCAUCACGGAGGAGGAAGGUGAAGGGGCGAGUCCGUCUGCGUCUGUGAAGUCUGGCGUGGAGACGGCAGAUCCGUCCUUCGCCUGCCACGGUUUCGAUAGCCCCAACGUGGGUAACAGUGACGCUUUAUGACAUCACGGGAGGGGCGGACGGAGGCAGCUAAGCAAGAGAGACUGGAACAAGGAAGACUGGAGCGAAACGAGCUUUUAAAUCCAUGUGGAGUAGUUGGCAUUUCAUUCUUAUCUUUUUAUCCCAUUAGUAGUUGAAGAUGCAUGUGCCGUUUCAUUUUCCGAGUACACUUUUUUGGUCUGCUUGCCCUAACAAUGGUUUUCUCAUGUAAGAGAAAACCUGCAGGUUCCUAAAAGCCAACAGUAUCUGUGUGUCCAGUAUGAUUGUUGUGCGAAUCACGACUUGUUCCCCUUCCAGUGUGUUUUUAUUGACAAUCUACUAUCAAGUGAGUUUGUACUUGUAUUUAUUUGAAUGACGAUGUAGAUAAUGGAAACCAAACUGCACUAAACAUUGUGGAUCCACCACCAGUUGGUUCUCUUUUUAAUUGUGAUGAUGUUUGAUAAGUGUCUUUGUAAGUCUGGUUUGUGACGGAGGACCCUCUACCAUCCUAAAGAUUAUUCAAACUUAGAUUGUGGGUUGUUUUAAUUUGAUUUUUGUGGAUCUGAAAAUGGUUAUAUUUUCUAAAGAUGCUUCUAUGAAUCAAGAUGAAUAAAACUGACUUUGCAGAAGGA